UCUUACCUUAUCUGUGUUUUCUUGCUAUAUCCAAAUUUCAAAAAUUACCUUAAAAAAAAAAAAGUAAGAAAAAAAGUAAAGCAGAAAAGGAGAUAUGGCCUUUUUCACUUGCUCCUCAUAACUAAGACAGAGCUUACAGAGAGAUUAUGCUUUGGCAUAAAGCAUCUUGGUCCAAAAUUUUCUUGCUCACCAGGAAAUGAUUAGUAAGAAUGUAUUGCAGAGAUCUGAAGAAAUUUUAAGAUACCUAUUCUUCCUAUACAGUCAGCUGUCCAAAGUUGAAAAGAGUAUGGGAAUUGGUAAAACGGAGGCAGGGAUGAUCUGGGGUUUGUUUUGUUUUUUCCCAGAGCUGUUACAAAAACAGGAAACUGAAUGGGUGGAAACCUGCUGUCAUCAACGCUGCACUUCCUCUGCUGAUGGAGAGUAACCAUACCUAGGUUUUGGUCCUGACUUGCUGGGAGUGUAUGCUGUACACCCCAGAUAAAAGGAUUUAUCAUGAAGGGACACUCCAAUGGGAGAGCUGGAGUAGAUAGCUCAGUUUGAGAACAUGUAGGCGUCAUCUACAGUGUGAACUUAGGAAUCUUCAGAGACAAUAAUUUGGCUGAACUGGCAACUAGAUUUUAGGAUGCAGAGGAACCUGCUACAUCUGAAGGAGGAACUAGUUGCUGCUUGCAGUUCUGUAUCUGAGCCCUAUCCUCAUUAAGCUGAAUAAUCCUUGAGUCACCCAAAAUCUAGAGAAAAGAAAAAUCCCAAAUGUCCGAGAAAGAAGAGGAUGCAGCCUGUGUCUAGAAGGCUUCUAAAUGCAUAUCCACUCAUUUGACUGAAAAGUGGAAGGUGUGGUUGUUGUUGGUUAGAGAAAGCCUUUAAGUCAUACAAACCCAGAAGUUUAAUGACUUAAUCAACAAUCAAGAGAGAUUGAAUGCCUGAAGAAACAUCCAGACACAAAGAAGUAUUUCUCAGCCCUUUAUGGUGGUAAAAUUGGUAGGAACAAAGGAUUCAAAAGGAAUUAUUUGGAACAUGUGUUGGUGGAUGAGAAACUCAACAUGACCUGGCAAUCGCUUGCAGCCCAAAAAGCCAACAGCAUCCUGGACACCAUCAAAAGAAGUCAGCAGGGAAGGGAGGAGUAGCAGGUAUUGUUUUACUCUGUUUGGGUGACUGAAGAUACCUUCAACAGCUGCUGCAACAGGAAGACUGCUCAAUAUUUGUCUCCCUUGGGAUGACUCUUGCCAGAUCUCUCCUGCAUGAAAUCAGUUCCCUGCCUUUGACUACAGCUGGCAAACUGCUAAAUACAAAAUCAUGGCUAAUAGAGGAACGACC